rnacentral:lncRNA from 1 species
AGCCUGGGUGACAGCGAAAGACCCUGUGUCAUAAAAAAAAAGAAAAAGAAAACAAAAGAAAGAAAUUAAUUUCAAGUACACCAGGAACAAUUGAGGCCAUCAUAUUCUGAAGCAGAGAUAAAAGAUUUGAGAUUAAAGAGAAAGUGCAAAUAAACUAGUGACAUUUUCCUGAAUCCUGGAUGCUGCUUUCACCCCCCAAAGCUAAUGUAUCUCCCUUUUUCACUUGAGAUAAUUUAAAUUGGGUUCUGUCACUUGCAAGAAAAAGCAUCUUGAUCAACUUAGCUACAGUUUUUGCAUCUACAAAAUCAAGGAGCUGAACUAAAUGAUUUCCAUGUUUUUUUCAUAUUUCAAGUUCUAAGAUUCUGACUUAAAAUGUCUGAUUUUUUACUAAGAAAUAGAUUUUUUUAAAAGCGAGGAAAGAGCAGGAGAAGCAGCCUGAAAGAAAAGGAAUGCAGAAGAGGGAGACAGGGUCACUCCUGGGACCAGUGAGAGCCAAAGACCAACUCUGCCUGCUGCAUGAUUUAGACAAGACUCCCGAUUUUAACUCAGGACUGUAAGAGUGCCCUGCAAAAGGACUCACGCCUCUAGUGAUCCCAGGUAAGGCCCACACAUAGGUUUCUCUGACAUGCUGUUGGAGUCAUGAUGACACAGUAGUUGAGGGCAUGGGCUUUAGAGGCUGCUGCCCCUGGAUUCAAUGAUUAUCAUUUUCAUCACAGCAUUUACUGAGCGUUUAUGACAUACCUGGAAAUAUCUCAAGACCCAGCCUCUUCACUUACUAGCUAUGUAACCUUAGGGAAGUGACUUAACUGCCACAAGCCUCUGCUUCCUCAUCUGUAAAAUGGGUGUCAUAAUAGUUUACUUCUCACAGGGAUGUUGUGAGGAUUCAAUGAGUCAAGAACAGUAUCUGGCACGGGCUCAAGCAUCAAGAACAGUAUCUGGCACGGGCUCUUCCUAAAAUGUUCCUCCUUGCCUUUUACACACAGCUCAAAUACCAAACAUCCACAAAACUUCCCCAAUUGUACUCCACCUCCUCUGUCUCCCCCGAGCACUUUGUUCCUGCCUGCUGGCUUUCUUUCUGCACACAUUAUUUAAGAGGUAGAAUGAUCAGGAUUUCUAGCUCUGUAUUUCAUUCACCUGCUCACAAAUCUAUCACCUGUGUGGCUCACCAUACCUUAUCUUUGGGUUCCUGAAGCGUUGGUCAAUGACAAACACACAGGAUCUCAACAAAUUUAAAUGGAUUGAGUAAAUAAUAUUCAGCCAUCUCUCAAGAUCAAAGCAGACAGUAUGAUCAGUAGUACGUGCCACACCUUUUGGUUUCACCACCUCAGUGAGCAUUAAGGAUUUUUGUCAGGCGAAACUGAUGUGUGAUUGUAAAGCUGCUCCUCACAUGAAACCACCAAUUGCUCAAGCUAAAAGUAACAAUUCCUCACAGCUGGCAGGCCAGCCCAUCUGCAACUGGCCGUGGAGCCUGUGUUAACGGGUGCGGUGCUGCUAGUUUGGAAGCUGACCAAAGAGACAGUAAACACAAAGGUUGCCUGGGUGCAUAAAUACAAAACGAGCUCCUCCUUGCCUCAUCCCCGAAACAGGCCAGUCACAGCAUCAGGGACUCCACAAGUGUCUACUUGUCAGCUCCUGUCAAGUGCAACGGCAAGGACCUACCACCCUCAAGCUGCAGAUAUUAAGGAUGAAAUUGCAGGAGCUGCGGUUUUAUAAGAAGCCAAACAUUGUGUGCAUUCAGAAAAAGAUAUUUUUCUAAGGCUGACCCGGCAGGUGGGAGGGAGAGUGAGGCAUCCUGAAGGCUGCAAGCCUGGCUGGCUGUGAUCCACGCAGGAGAUCUACACCUCAGAGCACUUCCUCCCACUGGGCAGUGGACCACUCGAGCAGCGGUUCUGAACACCUGAUCCCCAGACUCAUCGCAGCAGCAGCAUCUAGGAACAGGUUUUUGUGGAGAGACUGAGAAAAUCACUUCCUGGAGAAAUGAAGGCUGAAAGCCCUGGCAAAAAAGGAGAUGGUUCUCUAGAGACAGGCAGGAAAAAAGUUUCAGGAGGAGACAUGUCAGGUGCUGAUGCGAGAAGCAAAGGUACCAAUGUUGAUGGCACCUUCUUCCAGAUCGUAAAGGGCUUCUCCUUGGGUUCAAGCUUUCUGCAAAUGGCAGCAGCUGGGCAGGCUGCUAAGCAUAGAGGAGAGUUGCCCUCACCUGAUCCUGAGAACCAAGACUAAGUAACGCAUCCUGGAAAGGCCCAGGCCAAACAGAGGCCCUGUGGCGAGUUGCUCCAAGGGAAACCCAGGAACGGAGAAGGAAGGAGGAAGUUUGGGAAGCAGACCCAUGCUUUGACUGAAAGGUGAGCAACAAUAGAAGGAAGGGGAAUAAAAGCCUUCCGCUUUCGUCAUCCCUGCAAAGAAAAUGGAAUUCAUAAAUUUGAGACUCAAAUGUACUCUGCAAAAUUUUAAAAUUUGCAGCAUUUUGUUAUUUGGGGGCCGGUGUUAGACUGCAGAUAAACAUGUAGUUUAAUACAUACAUAUUAUAUCAGAUUACAUAUUGCUACAAUUAUUGGAGUUGCUUUGCUGUUUGCAAAAUGAGCCUUGUAGGAAACAAGUGUUUCCAAGUAAAUGAUGACUGAAAGAUUCUAUGAAGAAGAAAAAAAAUGUAACCAUAAGGUUUAAAUGCUUUAGAGGAAGUCAAGCUUGGAGGACAAGUUAUAUUUGUGUUUAGAAGCCAUGCUGGAUGCUACAAGUGUGCAUUAUGAAUGUGCACAGUAAACGGGAGGCAAAGGAGCCAGCAGGGCUAUGAGGAUGGGGGUGCUAUGGGGACAUAGUCAUAGACAGUUAAAGAGCAUAAAGAAUAUCGACAGAGUUCAAUGAAUAGAAUGGAGCUACCCUGGGAGAUAAAGAUACACAAUUAGGUUGAAGCACAACCAGAUAGGUGAUAUAUUAUGUUCUUUCUCAAGGUUGGCUUUUCUGUGCUGUUUAUCUCCCAAGAACACUUGAGUUGUUGCAAGCAAACUUUCUGGGUUUUUUUUUUUUGUGGAGAUGGAGUUUUGCUCUUGUCACCCAGGCUGCAGUGCAGUGGC